rnacentral:rRNA from 1 species
UACGUAGGUCCCGAGCGUUAUCCGGAUUUAUUGGGCGUAAAGCGAGCGCAGGCGGUUAGAUAAGUCUGAAGUUAAAGGCUGUGGCUUAACCAUAGUACGCUUUGGAAACUGUUUAACUUGAGUGCAGAAGGGGAGAGUGGAAUUCCAUGUGUAGCGGUGAAAUGCGUAGAUAUAUGGAGGAGCACCGGUGGCGAAAGCGGCUCUCUGGUCUGUAACUGACGCUGAGGCUCGAAAGCGUGGGGAGCAAACAGGAUUAGAUA